rnacentral:rRNA from 1 species
CCUACGGGUGGCAGCAGUCGAGAAUCAUUCACAAUGGGGGAAACGCUGAUGGUGCGACGCCGCGUGGGGGAAUGAAGGUCUUCGGAUUGUAAACCCCUGUCAUGUGGGAGCAAAUUAAAAAGAUAGUACCACAAGAGGAAGAGACGGCUAACUCUGUGCCAGCAGCCGCGGGAAUACAGAGGUCUCAAGCGUUGUUCGGAACCACUGGGCGUAAAGCGUGCGUAGGCUGUUUCGUAAGUCGUGUGUGAAAGGCGCGGGCUCAACCCGCGGACGGCACAUGAUACUGCGAGACUAGAGUAAUGGAGGGGGAACCGGAAUUCUCGGUGUAGCAGUGAAAUGCGUAGAUAUCGAGCGGAACACUCGUGGCGAAGGCGGGUUCCUGGACAUUAACUGACGCUGAGGCACGAAGGCCAGGGGAGCGAAAGGGAUUAGAUACCCUUGUAGUC